rnacentral:rRNA from 1 species
UACGAAGGGGGCUAGCGUUGCUCGGAAUCACUGGGCGUAAAGCGCACGUAGGCGGACUUUUAAGUCGGAGGUGAAAUCCUGGAGCUCAACUCCAGAACUGCCUUCGAUACUGAGAGUCUUCGAGUUCGGGAGAGGUGAGUGGAACUGCGAGUGUAGAGGUGAAAUUCGUAGAUAUUCGCAAGAACACCAGUGGCGAAGGCGGCUCACUGGCCCGAUACUGACGCUGAGGUGCGAAAGCAUGGGGAGCGAACGGG